CUAAAGGGUUUCCAGAGAUCUUGUGGUAGAUUGAAGCUUCAAUGGUAAUUCAAAGAUUUGAAGCAUUUUUGAGGUGAAGAUUUAGAAAAACACUAUCACCGUUUCAGAAUUUUAUCAUGAUUUUGUGCUCAAAUUCAUCAGAUUCGUUCAAUUCAUUCCAUUUCCUCUUUAUAAACCCUAAAAUUCCCCAAAAAAAAUGUAACUCGGUUGAAUGUUGAACUGCUCAAUGGUGAAAUCCGUGAAGGAUCCGUGGUUCGGUUGACUGAUUGUAUGUGUAAUACUGUUCAGAAUCCAAAGAUUAUUGUUAUAUCGUACAUAGAGACUGUUACCUCAGAGUUUAGUCUCAUUUAACAUCUCAAAGUGCCCCUUCUGGUAAUAAUGGUAGAUAUCCGUCCAGGAUUCUGUGUAAUAUGUCAGCUCCAACUGGUAGUAGUAAUAAGACGAUGAGUUUUCGUCCUACUUUGCAACCUGCAUAGCAACCUCCGGCGCCAAAUUACAAGUAUGAGUGGGAGAUAACAGGGUGCUAUCUCCCCUUCAUUCUUGGAUACUAGAGUUUCAGUUGUACCAUACCUGACUAAGGAAAAGGAGAUCGUCAUGCCUAAAGAGCCAGCCAGCCAGGCAAAGUUGGGAUAUAUGUUGGUGGUGUUCCAGCUUAUGAUCUUAGCCGCAGCUGCAAUGCUCGUGCAUAUGUUGCUGUUGAUGUCCUUGAUAGAUUAUACAAAAUGAUUAUGCUGCUGAUCGUAAUGUCUACUUUUCGUCUGACAAAUUCCCCGCGUACGGCCUGCUAUCUGGGCGAAAAUCAGAAGACAAUCUAGCUGGUGAUAGUGAGAGAGUUCAAGACAGUUUAACUUCAAAGAAAUAAAGUCAAAAUGACUUUGCAUUAUGGAAGGAUGCAAAGCUGGGAGAGAUUAGCUGGGUAAGUUCUUUGGGACCUGUCACCUGUCAAUUACUUACCAGUCACAUGUCAAUUACUCACAAGAACGGACUGAACUUGCAUCUGACUGUGUUUUCUACUCGUAUAAGGAUUAUUGUUAUAUCGUACAUAGAGACUGUUACCUCAAAGUUUAGUCUCAUUUAACAUCUCAAAGUGCUCCUUCUGGUAAUAAUGGUAGAUAUCCGUCCAGGAUUCUGUGUAAUAUGUCAGCUCCAACUGGUAGUAGUAAUAAGACGAUGAGUUUUUGUCCUACUGUGCAACCUGCCAACCUCCAGCGCCAAAUUACAAGAAUGAGUGGGAGAUAACAGGGCGCUAUCUCCCGUUGAUUCUUGGACACUAGAGUUUCAGUUACAAUAGCAUGACUAAGGAAAAGGAGAUCGUCAUACCUAAAGAGCCAGGCAAAGUUAGUGUUCCAGCUUAUGAUCUUAGCUGCAUCUGCAAUGCUUGUUCAUAUGUUGCUAUUGAUGUCCUUGAUAGAUACCUAUAACAUUUGGGCUAUCCAGUUACGUAUGUACGCAAGUUCACUGACAUUGAUGACAAGAUAAUUAAGCGAGCUGAGGAAGUAGAGUAGGAAGCAUUGGAUUUGAGCAAAUGCUUCUGCGAUAAGUAUCUUAGUGACGUGUGUGAUCAUCACGUCCUUGUUCCUACAAAACAACCCUGUGUUUCUGAAAUCAUGGAAGAAAUUAAGAAUGUGAUAGAGAAGAUUAUACAAAAUGGUUAUGCUUCUGAUGGAAAUGUCUACUUUUCGUCUGAGAAAUUCCCUGCGUACUGCCUGCUAUCUGGGAGAAAACCGGAAGACAAUCUAGCUGGUGAUAGCGAGAGAGUUUUAGACAGUUUAACUUUAAACAAAUAAAGUCAAAAUGACUUUGCAUUGUGGAAGGAUGCAAAGCCGGGAGAGAUUAGCUGGGUAAGUCCUUGGGACCUGUCACCUGUCAAUUACUCACAAGAACGGAUUGAACUUGCAUCUGACUAUGUUUUAUACUCGUAUAAGGCUUUGCUGGAGUGUGAAGAGACCUUAUAUUCUUUUCGAUAGAAAAAUCCUGUGAUGCCAAAGUGCAAAUUAUUGGACUUAACUCCUGAGGCUCAGAAGUGCAUUGAGAAAUUAAAGAAUGAUUUCUACGCUAAAGUGUCAGAUGAUGUCCACAAUGAGGACUUCUUGAAUGCUGCAGCUCUUGAGGAAAUUUUGAAGGUCAUGAACCAUCUCAAGAAGGAAGAGCACUAGAGCAGCAUGACCUUUCAUUGUUCCUGUCUCUUGCUGAAAUGGAGAAAGAAGUGAAGCUGGUUUUAGAUACUCUUGGACUAAUGUCAUUUUCAUCCUAUUCAGAGUGGUGUGUACUGAACAGGUUGUGAGGUAAUUCAAAGUUCAGGAUUUGACAGAGAGCAAAGUUGACUGAGGAAGAUGUUUUGUAACAAAUAGAACUUAAGACCCAGGCAAAGAAAGGCAAGGAAUUUGUGAAGAGUGACAGAAUCAGGCUCGUCUUGACUGUUAAGGGGAUCUUUCUUGUGGAUUUGGAUGACGAAAAUCAAUGGAGACCUUGUGUCUGAAAGAUCAGAAACUUGUGAAAUGUCGCAGUCUACUGAAAUAAACAAAGUCCUCAACUGCCUCAACAAUGGUGAACCAGAACUAAACUGGUAUAUGUAAAUCUAUAAUCCCUUGGACAGCAUCUGAACUGAAUUUCAUACAGAAUUUCUUACUUAUCUGGAGUUGCAAACCAAUUUUUUGCCUAAUCAUCA